AGUAGCGGCGAGUGAAGCGGCAAGAGCUCAGAUUUGAAAUCGUGCUAAUUUUUUUGGCACGAGUUGUAGAGUGUAGGCGGGAGUCUUUGUGGAGCACGGUGUCCAAGUCCCUUGGAACAGGGCGCCUGAGAGGGUGAGAGCCCCGUGGGGUGCCGUGCGAAGCUCUGAGGCCCUGCUGACGAGUCGAGUUGUUUGGGAAUGCAGCUCCAAGUGGGUGGUAAAUUCCAUCUAAGGCUAAAUACUGGCGAGAGACCGAUAGCGAACAAGUACUGUGAAGGAAAGAUGAAAAGCACUUUGAAAAGAGAGUGAAACAGCACGUGAAAUUGUUGAAAGGGAAGGGUAUUGGGCCCGACAUGGGGAGUGCGCACCGCUGUCUCUUGUAGGCGGCGCUCUGGGCGCUCUCUGGGCCAGCAUCGGUUCUUGCUGCGGGAGAAUGGGUGCCGGAAAGUGGCUCUUCGGAGUGUUAUAGCCGGCGCCAGAUACCGCGUGCGGGGACCGAGGACUGCGGCUUCUGUCUC
rnacentral:rRNA from 1 species